UGAAGUACGAAAGAUAAUAAAAUAAAAAAUGUAAAAAGAAAAGAAAAUAUAUGUUGUAUUCUGCAUACUUUGUGGAAAAAACGUUUAUUUUGGAACAAGAGUUGAUGGAAAAUCUGCAUCUAUGUUGCUCGCUUUCGCAUUGAGGUUGAACGAAGGAACAUAUCGAUUACAAAUGCUUGUAUCUCAAAGUUUAAUUAGUGCUACACGAGAAGAUUAGCAUGGCCCCUGCGCAAGAAUGACACGCAUAAAUCGAGAAAUUGUCCAAAUUUUUUUUACUUUUUUUCCCUUCAUUUCGAUAUCUUCUUCUCGCUUCUUCUCACUUUCUAUGCUUUUGAAAAUAUUUUUAUUGGUGGCUUCCUCUUCUUCUGAUGCAUUUCAUGUUUCUGUUCUAACUUUACGGAGCUACAUUUCAUCGAACUUGACAACCCUUUUCAUUUCAUUAUCACUUUUUGUCUGACUUGUUAUUCAUCUUCUUACUCUUGCUAUUUUUCACAAUAGAUAAGAUUGUUUACUUAGCUCUACACUUUUCAUGUUUAUUUUUCUAAGUUUAGCUUUGCUUUUCUUCACUUUCAUGCUCUUAAAUUCUCGGUCCCUUAUACAAUUUUAUUUGUACGCCAAAUAUUUCAAAUGCAAUGAGUUGUUUUCUACAUUUCAAUUUUACUUGUUAAACCCUAAAAUUUUGGGGGUGGGAAGUUCAUCAAGCUAAAAUAAGUAAGGGAAAAGAUCUUGAAUGUAAUGUGUUUGAUAAAAUGUCAUUGAAAAAUUGUCUUAACUUGAGUUGCUGCUGUUUACAUUUGGUUUUGUCUCUCUUUCAGUACCCAUUCAAAUUUUAACUAAACACUUAAAGAGUUGUUAUUAGAAAUUUGGAAAAAAAUAAAUAAAUGCUAGUAGGGUCAAAAGAAAAACUUCAUCUUGCCAAUACAUUUUCAAUAUUGAGUGAGACAAGGAAGACUGUUUUAUUUGGUUGGUUUAAAUCUUCUACUAUCAAUAUUCAUUUAUUCAGAAUCGUUUCCAGAAAACUGUUAGGAGAAAAUUUCUCUAGAUUUGGAGCAGCUAAGCUCUGGUUUAGGAGUUCUUGGAACUCUUAUUUAGUUUCUUUUCCUGCAUUUCCUAGAAUUUCAUCAUUGUAAUAGCUUGGCUCAUCAAAUUCCAGCAUUAAUAAACACAUUUCUUUCAUUGAAAUUAUGUUUUCUUGCCUUACUUUCUGGUUUCUAUCAGUUAUUAUUUGCUGUCUUUUUCAUUUUUAAUUAAAAAUGAUACAGUUGAAAGCAUACUGUGUAUCUUUUUUAUUCCUAAGGUUUAUAAGUACAUUUUGGUCUAAGUCUCAUCUGGCUAAUGUCUUGUUUUGGUUUUUCAGAAAUAAUUGAUGCUGUCUAACUUAGUUGGUAUGUAAUAUGCGGGUUUAAGUCUUAGGCUAAAUGUAGGUUUAUACAGAGUUGGUGAUGGAAGAUACUGAUCAAGCUGUGUUGGUGAUCCAAUUUUUACAAUAUAUAAUAGUUACUUUGAACAUCAUGAAGGUUGUGCUCAGAAUUUUCAUCUCUAGUUCAUGACAUACCAUUGUACCAAGAAAAACAAACCAGGCUGCAUUCAAUUCAUGGCAUCAAUGUAUCACUAGACCUUUGUUUAUCUCCUUGUUUUUGUGCUACCGCAUGCACUUUUGCAUUCUCUUUAGGUAACCUUAAUUUGCAAAACAAGUAAGGUAGAACUAGCUGGAGAGUAUAUAUGCAAUCCGGCAUGGUUUGCAAGCUUUUAAGGUAGAUAGGACAGAAGGAGAAUUAGUGUAUAUUUGCCAUGCAAGCUUGAUAAGUAAGCAUUCAGAUUUUUUGUAUAUUAUAUCAUUUUUAAUUAAAAAUGUUACAUUUGAAAGCA